GCUGCCUAGUAGGUGGUGGAUGGGGAUUCAAAUCCAACGGUGACUCCAGUGCUUCUGCCACUCACCCUUUGAGUGUGCUGACUUCCGGGGGUGUUCUGUUCUCAGAAAAAAGCAAGUCUUGCAGUUUGGUGGGAGAGAGUAUGCAGUCACCAACAUGGCAUGAAUUUAGGAGUGAAUAAACGAAAGAAAAGAAAAAAACCUAUUAUUUAGAGUGCUAUGAAUGGUGUAAGCAAGCCUCUUUUGAGAGAGAAGAGCUUCACGGAGAAGCAGAUUUUGCUGGUGGUGAAACAGGGGAAGGUCAUUCCUGGCAGAGGGAGCAGGCCUGAUAGAAGUCAGUCUGACUCUUCCUUGACCACUUUAAGCCCCAGUAGCCGGCCCAGAUCCUCCCACGAUUCUUGCUGCCUCCCGAACUGCAGUGUGAGCAAAUGAGAUAAGUACAAAAUAUUCCUACACCACUGGCUCCAUGCUCUCCUCAUAUUCAAUCAUGAAGACUAAUGAACCAGAGAUGAUUACGGUGGUAAAAAUCCAAAUGCAGAUUUUUGCUGUCCUUACUAAUGAGAGAAAAAUAUAGUAGACCAUUGGCCUAAAGGCUCCAGAUGCGAUUCCUUUGUAACUUAGAGUGCAUUAAAAAAGCUUCAGUCAGCAAGAUAAGUUAAUUUUUUUAUGACCUUUAUAAACUCUUUUAGCCUGUAUCUCGGGAGCUUCUUAAAGAUUAAAUUUUAAAAAAUCCUUUUAGCUCAGGCCAACACAGCAUCUGAGUCUUUUUUGCUUCCAAGGCUACAUCCAAAAUCUAUAAAAAAAUUCUGUUCAUGACAAUUAUUGUCAAAGUAAUGAUUAGCUAACAUGUCAUUUUUAGUUUUUACUGUUCUUGCCUCUAUGAGACUAAUCCAAUAAAGCUCACAUCUUCUUAAUGUAAAAGUUGCAUGAAGGAUGCAUUAUUCCCGUUGACUUUGCCUACAUUUGCAAAUUCUUGAAAAAGCAAAUUGAAUUGUCACUAGUGGCACCUCUUUCACAGGAUGAUUGUUGGGUCAAAGUGAGAGUGUAGGGGACAAAUAUCAAGAUUUUUGUUAAAAGAAAAAAAUCCCUACCUAAGAACUGUAAAGCUGUAUUAAUAUAUAAUUGAGGCCAUGGACUUUAGUAGACCAUAAGGCACAGCUACCCAAGGUGAUGGGUAUAAUUUUGCAGGGGGAGGAAUGUCGGAGGAAUGUGAAGGGCUCUUCAUUGAUGGCAUCACAAAUUUAAUUUAUUAUGUGAAACAUGUAGUUUCUUCUCACCUCUUUGGUUGUAGGAUAACUGCUCCUUUUAAACACUGUGCUUUUGACUGGCUUGAUUGGUAACUACAAAAGUCAUCAUCCUAGGCAUCUGUCACUACUUCUAUUACAUCCAACCUACUGACCCAGAAAAUCUGUGGUUGACACAAUUGAUUUCUCUAAAAGAUUCAUUCAGCAUUUAUUUUAUUUUUGACAUCCACCUACAAGGUCCCACAGAAAUUUAGUACCUACAUCUCUGUGUAAGAGAAACACAGCCCUUUAUAAAAAGUGCAUAUCCUGAAGUGAGGAGCUGGAACAAAGCAGGAGUCUUGCUUAGAAUGAUUCACUGAAGUAACUGGAUUUAUUAAGAUGUAUGUGAGCUUUGGUGACUAUGCCACUGAAGACAUUUGUGCUCACCUCGUGAGAGGCUGCCACUGGAAAUAACAAC
rnacentral:lncRNA from 1 species